UAGAGCUCCUUAGUAGGUGUUGCCCGAGUUCAGCUUUAUUGGAUAUUCAGAGAACUCUUCAAUCAUAAGUACCUGUACAAGCCAAGAUUAUAUUACUUCUUGCAGAGGAUUUCCAUGGAUAAUGUAGAUAAAAGUUGGAUGAAUCUUUUGAGAUGGACGGAUUAGUAUAUCCGUAGAGCGGAUAAUUUCCUUGAUAAGGCAUUUGGACAAGCUUCCCAAGGAAAUGAAAUAUUAUAUCCUUGCAAAAAGUGCAUUAUUCGGUAUUGAACCGCGCUUCUACUAUUCUUAACAAUUAUUUAAUUUGUUGGUUUUUUUUUUAACUUUAUUAAAAAGUUAGACAUGAAAUUGAAUAUUUGCUAUAAAUAUUUAUAAAGGCGACAAUGUAGCAAAUAAACUUUCCUUUUUACUUUUGUUAGAAGACUUACCUUAUGGUAAAAGAAUUCAAAAAAUAAAAUAUCAUUGGUCAAUGUGUUAGAAGACUUAUCUUAUGGUAAACGAAUUCCUUUUUACUUUUGUUAAAAAAUAAAAUAUCCCAUUCUUGGAGAAACUUCCUCUACACAACAAGCUGCUAUGCAACUAAUCAAUCGUCUAUCUACUGAGAGUAACAAUCAAGGUAGGGCAAUUGAAGAAAGGGAAGAUGGAGAUAGUGAAGAUCUAGACCUUACUUAAGAAGAACUUUGAAUUGUUGUCGAUAUUCUAGGAGUCUUUUGUUAUCAACAUUUGAAACUUUAACUUUUGAAGUGUUGAACCGUACAACUUAUGUAAUUGGGUUAAAACAUUUUGCUAUUAUGGUUAUUUUUAGCU